UACGGAGGGUGCAAGCGUUAUCCGGAUUCACUGGGUUUAAAGGGUGCGUAGGCGGGUAAGUAAGUCCGUGGUGAAAUCUCUGAGCUUAACUCAGAAACUGCCGUGGAUACUAUUUGCCUUGAAUAUUGUGGAGGUGAGCGGAAUAUGUCAUGUAGCGGUGAAAUGCUUAGAUAUGACAUAGAACACGAAGUGCGAAGGCAGCUCACUACACAAUCAUUGACGCUGAGGCACGAAAGCGUGGGGAUCAAACAGG
rnacentral:rRNA from 1 species